rnacentral:misc_RNA from 1 species
UCUCCGUAGGUGAACCUGCGGAGGGAUCAUUACCGAGUGAGGGCUCACGCCCGACCUCCAACCCUUUGUGAACACAUCUUGUUGCUUCGGGGGCGACCCUGCCGUUUCGACGGCGAGCGCCCCCGGAGGCCUUCAAACACUGCAUCUUUGCGUCGGAGUUUAAGUAAAUUAAACAAAACUUUCAACAACGGAUCUCUUGGUUCUGGCAUCGAUGAAGAACGCAGC